AUUCAUACAUAAUUCCUCGUAAAGAAUGUUGGCUUAAAAUAUUUGAUAAGCCUGGAAAGCAUAAAGCUCUCUAAGGUUCUGGAAAAGAAGUGAAAUCAUUAGAAAGGUGUUCUAAGCAUUUUUCUAGCCUGAAGGGGAGCAGCAAUCAUCAGCAAUCUAAUAAUAAAACUAGUAUUCAAGAGAUCUGAUAUUGGUAACAGUAUGCUGAAAGUAAACUUACGUGAUAACCCAGCUUCUCACAAUAGGAGUGGAAGUGUGACCAGGUUGAUUUGCCAGAAUAUGCUGACACAGACAGAAAGAAGAAGACAAGACCUACAUCUCUUCGAGGAAACAAUUAGUGAUUAGGCCUCUAUUGCUGAUUUGUAUCUGAAUCGGGUGAAGAAUGUAGGGAAGAUAAUUUGUCUCAUUGGUUUUUCUGUUUUUAAAUUUUUAUUAAAACACUCAAUGAUUUACUUAUGUGUUUUCUAUUCUGUUCAAUAAGAUUGCUCAGUUUUCUCUAGGUGCAUAGUGUUUUAAACAAUU
rnacentral:lncRNA from 10 species